CACAUCAAGUGACGUAAGAGCAUCUGGUGGAUGCCUUGGCACUGAGAGGCGAUGAAGGACGUAGCAGGCUGCGAUAAGCCUCGGGGAGCUGCCAACAAGCUUUGAUCCGAGGAUUUCCGAAUGGGGAAACCCACCACUUUGUGGUAUUUAUUGCUGAAUUCAUAGGCAGUAAAAGCGAACCUGGCGAACUGAAACAUCUAAGUAGCCAGAGGAAAGGACAUCAAUUGAGACUCCGUUAGUAGCGGCGAGCGAACGCGGAUCAGGCCAGUAGCCUAAAAGAGCCAACAAGAAUUACCUGGAAAGGUAAGCCACAGAGGGUGAUAGCCCCGUAUUGGUAAUGUUCUUUUGGGUUCAUGAGUAGAGCGGGACACGUGAAAUCCUGUUUGAAGAUGGGGGGACCACCCUCCAAGCCUAAGUACUCCUCAGUGACCGAUAGUGAACAAGUACCGUGAGGGAAAGGUGAAAAGAACCCCGUCGAGGGGAGUGAAAUAGACCUGAAACCGGAUGCUUACAAACAGUAGGAGCCCCUAUAGGGGGUGACUGCGUACCUCUUGUAUAAUGGGUCAGCGAGUUCGUCUCGGGAGCAAGCUUAAGCCGAUAGGUGUAGGCGUAGCGAAAGCGAGUCUUAAUAGGGCGAUUUAGUUCCAGGGAUGAGACCCGAAACCGGGUGAUCUAGCCAUGAGCAGGCUGAAGGUGCGGUAACACGUACUGGAGGGCCGAACCCACUGAUGUUGCAAAAUCAGGGGAUGACUUGUGGCUAGGGGUGAAAGGCCAAUCAAACCCGGAAAUAGCUGGUUCUCCGCGAAAACUAUUUAGGUAGUGCGUUGUGUAUAACUGCUGGGGGUAGAGCACUGGAUGGGCUAGGGGGCCGCGAGGCUUACCAAACCUAACCAAACUCCGAAUACCAGCAAGUUCAGCACAGCAGACAGACCAUGGGUGCUAAGGUCCGUGGUCAAAAGGGAAACAGCCCUAACCGCCAGCUAAGGUCCCCAAAUGAUGGUUAAGUGUAAAAGGAAGUGGGAAGGCCAAGACAGCCAGGAGGUUGGCUUAGAAGCAGCCAUCCUUUAAAGAAAGCGUAAUAGCUCACUGGUCUAGACAAGCCGUCCUGCGCCGAAAAUGUAACGGGGCUUAAACCAUCUACCGAAGCUGUGGGUUUGCAAAAGAGAGAUACUUUUGCAAGCGGUAGCGGAGCGUUCUGUAGGCCGUUGAAGAUAGCGUGUAAACGUUGUUGGAGGUAUCAGAAGUGAGAAUGCUGACAUGAGUAACGUUAAAGCAUGUAAAAAACAUGCUCGCCGAAAGUCCAAGGUUUCCGACGCCAGGUUAAUCCGCGUCGGGUUAGUCGACCCCUAAGGCGAGGGCGAAAGCCGUAGUCGAUGGGAAUCAGGUUAAUAUUCCUGAACCAGUUGGAAGUGACGAAUAUUGUAAGUUGUCUACCCUUAUUGGAUUGGGUUGGCUUCGAAAAUGUUCCAGGAAAUAGCUCCAACAUAUUGAUCGUACCGCAAACCGACACUGGUGGACGAGUUGAGUAUACUAAGGCGCUUGAGAGAACGAUGUUGAAGGAACUCGGCAAAAUGCUCCUGUAACUUCGGGAUAAAGGAGGCCCUUGCGCGGGCAACCGUGUGAGGGUGGCACAGAAUAGGGGGUUGCGACUGUUUACCAAAAACACAGGGCUCUGCGAAGUCGAAAGACGACGUAUAGGGUCUGACGCCUGCCCGGUGCUGGAAGGUUAAGAGGACGGGUGCAAGCUUGGAAUCGAAGCCCCAGUAAACGGCGGCCGUAACUAUAACGGUCCUAAGGUAGCGAAAUUCCUUGUCGGGUAAGUUCCGACCCGCACGAAUGGCGUAACGACAUCCCCGCUGUCUCCAACAUCGACUCAGUGAAAUUGAAUUCCCCGUGAAGAUGCGGGGUACCCGCGGUCAGACGGAAAGACCCCGUGCACCUUUACUACAGCUUUGCAGUGGUGUUAGGAUCGUUAUGUGUAGGAUAGGUGGGAGCCUAUGAAGCGUUGGCGCCAGUUGGCGUGGAGGCAUCCUUGAAAUACCACCCUUAACGUUUUUGAUACCUAACCGCGUCGUGUUAUCCACGUCCGGGACCCUGCAUGGUGGGUAGUUUGACUGGGGCGGUCGCCUCCUAAAGAGUAACGGAGGCGCGCAAUGGUAGGCUCAAGCUGGUCGGAAAUCAGCUGUAGAGUGUAAUGGCAAAAGCCUGCCUGACUGCGAGACGUACAUGUCGAGCAGAGACGAAAGUCGGUCAUAGUGAUCCGGUGGUCCCUCGUGGAUGGGCCAUCGCUCAACGGAUAAAAGGUACGCCGGGGAUAACAGGCUGAUCUCCCCCAAGAGCUCUUAUCGACGGGGAGGUUUGGCACCUCGAUGUCGACUCAUCACAUCCUGGGGCUGAAGUCGGUCCCAAGGGUUUGGCUGUUCGCCAAUUAAAGUGGUACGUGAGUUGGGUUCAGAACGUCGUGAGACAGUUCGGCUCCUAUCUGCCGUGGGCGCCGGAUAAUUGAGAGGACCUGUCCCUAGUACGAGAGGACCGGGAUGGACGUACCUAUGGUGUACCAGUUGUAGCGCCAGCUGCAUUGCUGGGUAGCUAAGUACGGACGAGAUAACCGCUGAAAGCAUCUAAGCGGGAAACUCUCCUCAAGAUAAGUUAUCCUUAAGAGAGCCGUGGAAGACCACCACGUUGAUAGGCGGGAUGUGUAAGUGCAGUAAUGUAUUAAGCUAACCCGUACUAAUCGCUCCAACACUUGAUGUG
rnacentral:rRNA from 1 species